rnacentral:lncRNA from 1 species
CUUCUUUCUUUCCAAAUGUUCUUUCAAAAGAGAUACCAAACUGGCAUCGACAACCACCAACUGUUGGUUUGGUUGGCCAACAGUGGAAAGUUACUAAAAAACAUAACAGUCUAUUUAGUUGGCCUUUAUGGCUGAAUUCCCUCUUUGUUUUAUCAUCCACAGAAUUGGAACAGGGCCGAGAAGAAGCUUCUGACCAAACCAGUCCCCCAGAUACAAAAAUCAACAUUGUCUACACCAGAGGACAUCUAUGAAAACAUGAGACGGUCAGCCAAGCCGAUCACUGAUCCUGAUGACAUGAACUACGCAGAGCUCAAUAUCAGCCCUGCUCCUUCACCCAGGUAAAUAACCACAGAGUGAGUGAGACACUCACAGUAAAUUCCACAAGUAAAAUAAUGUGUAUCAAAACAAUUGCAUAAUAACUUGCAAAAAAACAUGUACCCAACAAUGCAACAACAGGCUUACAUUACGUAGUAUCUGUAAUAUAGUAAUAACUACUAGGUAAAUACAAAUAUAGAUCUGCACUAAAACUUCUUCCCCUUAAAAGGAGGCAGCGAAAUAACAAGGCAGAGGAUGACGAUGCAGUUAACUACAGCCAACUACAAUCACACUGAGGUGGUCAGAGUAUGUACAAACAAUGUACAGUGUACAAAAUAAACAGUAAAAAAGUGGAUAAUUAAAGAAAUACAAACAUAAAAUCAUUACAUGAGAACACAGGGUAUGUCAUUUAACAACAGGUUAUAAAGAAAUGUGCAUUUCAUAUUGCUCUGUGCUAUAUAAGAGAUCUGUAUAUUUCUCAUGAUUACAACACUUGAAGACAUGUAAUUUUGACACGUCGUUAUUUGUUAAUGAGAUUAUGCUGUAUACUGUACAUUCAAUGUGGAAAUAUAUUAAUAUGUUAGGAUAAAAUGUCCUUAUUAAAUAAUGGUAUGUCACUUUCAGAUUUUUUGCAGAUUAAAGUGAAUAUAAACUUCAAUAAAUAAUGAGUUAUGAUUAAAUUCAUGAACUACGAAGGUCUCCCUGACAAUUUACAGCAGCCUUAAUGUACUGAAAUAUAACAUGAAUGUACUGAAACAUAAAAGCAAGGAAAUGUAACACUUAACAUGAGAUUAGACAGGGCUGGAUGAAAUUACAAUCAUCUGUUGAUGUUAGACAUUACAGUUCACAGAUGACUUUCCUAAUCCUUAUCCUUUCUCAACAUGGACUGUCCUGGGAACUCUCCAAAAACAUUUAACUAAGACCCCAACUCACAAUACUUCCUCCUUACUUUGGCAUUUAUAGGUUCCAUUCUUCAGAUACUAUGAUGUCACUUCCUGUUCAGUAACUCAGGCCUCUGUGGCAGGAUCUCCACUGGGGGCCGUCUUCCUGAUAGGAAAUGAUAGGUCAGGUUAGAAAUAAAAUACAACUCAAUACAACUAGCCAUGCAAAUAUUUAAUGAGUCAUUGGCUCAGUAACUCAAUAUGCAC